rnacentral:rRNA from 1 species
UACGUAGGGUGCAAGCGUUAAUCGGAAUUACUGGGCGUAAAGCGGGCGCAGACGGUUAUUUAAGCAGGAUGUGAAAUCCCCGGGCUCAACCUGGGAACUGCGUUCUGAACUGGAUAGCUAGAGUGUGUCAGAGGGGGGUAGAAUUCCACGUGUAGCAGUGAAAUGCGUAGAGAUGUGGAGGAAUACCGAUGGCGAAGGCAGCCCCCUGGGAUAACACUGACGUUCAUGCCCGAAAGCGUGGGCAGCAAACAGG